rnacentral:rRNA from 1 species
GAGUUUGAUCUUGGCUCAGAACGAACGCUGGCGGCGUGCCUAAUACAUGCAAGUCGAACGAGAAAGUGGCUUCGGCCAUGAGUACAGUGGCAGACGGGUGAGUAAUACAUAGGUAACCUUCCCUUAAGUUGGGGACAACCUUCCGAAAGGAGGGCUAAUACCGAAUAAGACCACAGUGACAUAAGUCACAGGGGUUAAAGACGGCCUCUACUUGUAAGCUUUCACUUAAGGAUGGGCUUAUGCACCAUUAGCUAGUUGGUAGGGUAAUGGCCUACCAAGGCUUCGAUGGUUAGCUGAUCUGAGAGGUUGAUCAGCCACACUGGAACUGAGACACGGUCCAGACUCCUACGGGAGGCAGCAGUAGGGAAUAUUGCGCAAUGGAGGAAACUCUGACGCAGCGACGCCGCGUGGGUGACGAAGGCCUUCGGGGUCGUAAAGCCCUGUCGGAAGGGACGAAAGACUUGUUGAUAAUACCAACAAGAGAUGACGGUACCUUCAAAGGAAGCACCGGCUAACUACGUGCC